GAUUUUUGAUGUAAUAACAGGACCACAGACCGGAACCUCGGCGGAACGGCACCUUGACCGGCUCUCCACCUCAGUAUACUCCAUCACUGUUUCUACUUCUAAACUACACGUGGCCUGAUUCCUUUAUAGCCAAGGAUAUGUAGACAUCUCAGAUACCAGGGCUCGGUCACAUUCCCCUUUCUCUUAGUUUUGGUCUCCCUAAAUAAGGGUCGGGUCAAAAAACCUGUCUUAGUUUCUCUUUCGUAUUUUAAGCCAAAAAGGGGCAACUGUAGACAUGUGAUUUUAAACCCUCCCCAAGAUUUUUCAUAUUUUAGCGCGUAAAUAUUUAAUUUAGGCCUAAUAUCUCUAUCUCAACUAAUUUUGACUCUUUUACUUUAUUUUAUUACAAAAAAUAAAAAUUACAAAAAAAAUAGUUUCAUUAAUGUUUUGUAGUCAUUUUUAAUCUUGAAAAAUACCAAAAAUAGUUUUGUUUUAACGGUCAGUCUUAUUUUAACAUUUAUUUUACUUAAGUAGGACUAAUUAAUAAAUGAGAUCGUAUUUUCAUCUCGUUCGCGGGGAAAGAAUAAAAUUCAGGCUCAAACGACCCAUUUUUAGGCCUAAAUUUCGGACCUAGCCCAUAAUUCCCAAGCCCAUACCCCUUAACCUAAAAAAACCCUACAAAAACCUAUAUCCCUACACUCUACAAGGAAAAAAAGGAGAAAAAUAAAUAGACCCUACACCUACGCCUAAAACCUUACACACAUCAGAUCCACCGCUCCAUCAAAAAUCCCACCCCCUGAACAUUCUCCUUCUUCCUAUAAAAACAAAAUGAAAAACAUUGAAGACCCCUAGAGAAUGGAAGAAGCCCUCCGCCGCUGCUAACCAAAAUCAGACCCCUUAGACCUUUCUUCGCCAUCUUCCAAAAAUCAGAAAACAAAAGAACUCUAGGAGAGAUCCAACCCGUCUUCCUAACCAUAACUCCGGAGACCAGGCGUACACAGCAGCCCCCGUCUCCAUCUCUCACCGAACCCAGCCCAGCUCGCUGGAAAUCUGGCAAUAAUUCUUCGAAACAGCAGCUAGUUACUCCAAAAUCCCAUCACUCACAAAAAUUAGUCGAAGACCACCGAUUCAGAGGGUUCGGUUUGAGACGAGGUUGAUUCCGUUUUGAUUUCGAGGUUGCUAACGGGGUUUGCGGUCCAGGUUUCUGCUAUCGUCUCUUUUUUCCGGUCAGAUUUAGUCUGCCAAAAUUUGCUGUAAUUGAGUUCUUGUUAAUAUUAUUGAGGUCUGAUUCCAAACUCUUCCUCUUUUAUCAUGUUUCAUGUGAAUAUUUGUGUUUGUUUCCUCUUGUUUUAGUCCUUGUUAUGUGUAUGAUAAUUACUUGAAUAACUUUAUUUUGUUUGGUAGCUUUUGGUUUGAUAAUGAGUGGUUGCUUUUAUACAUUGAAAUGUCGUUGAGGCACUGCCAUUAUUUUCCUUCUAUUUUGUUGGGUUUGACACCAAUUCUACUUCUCUUCUUCUGGAUUGGAGCUCUUUUUUUAGAGUUGUUGUUGAACUGAAGGUUUGCGUAAAAGAAAUAGCUACUGGGUUUCGAAUCUACAUUGAGUUGAUGUUGAAAUUAAUGAUGUGAUUAAAUCGAAUUGAAAUUUGGAAAUUGCUUUGUUACUUUCGUGGUUGUGAUCGAAAUAUGUUGUUGACCUAUUCUCUUCGUUGUUGGCUGGUUUCAUAUGCAUUCGCAAUACGACCCAUUUCUGAUUUUGGACUUAACUUUACUAUGUCGGAUUUGUGCUGAAUGUUUGAAGUUUUAUUGUAUAGUUAUCUUGGAUUUAGUUUCCCUAUAUUGGAGAUAAAAUUUGUUUGUUCUCUCGUAAUGGCUUUAGUAAUCCAUGUAGUUAAACUCUUGAAUUUAGAAGAUAUAAGAAGGUUAACUAUUCUUGAUCUUUGUCUAUGAUUGAAUUUGUUGAGAAAAGAGCUUGAAUUUCAUCAAAUUGUGGGCGUAUUAGCAAGCUACGGUAUUACUUUUAGUUUCAGAAUGUUUGUUGAAUCCGUGGGAGUGGGGAAAAUAAAAUAAAUUAAUUAAGUUGUUUACAUUUUUAGUACUCUUUUAUUUAUUUACUUUGUUACAACCGUUAGGAGCAUGCUAGGCCGUUAACACCCGUAUAGGCGAACCUUUAGGUGCA
rnacentral:lncRNA from 1 species